ACAACAAGACUGCACACACAUCCCACAAAGGGCUACACCAAGACUGUCCACCUCAGGUGAUUGGUGAGGUUGAGCCACUGGGUCCUGUAGGACACCUUCUACACAAGGCCACUCUAUCAACUCAAGGAGACUUAGUAGCUACCCAAUACAUAGAAACAAACACAGGGAAGCAGCCAAAAUGCAGAGACAAAGAAACAUGUCACAAACGAAAGGAAUGGAAGAAAGCAAACUAACUGGAUAUAGAGUUUAAAACCACAGUUAUAAGAUUACUCAAGCAUCUUCUGGAAACCUCCAAGAGACUUAGUGAAACUUUCAAGAAUAU